GUGAAAACCUGAGGCUCAACCUCAGGCCUGCAUUCGAUACGGGCAAACUAGAGUUUGGUAGGGGAGACUGGAAUUCCUGGUGUAGCGGUGGAAUGCGCAGAUAUCAGGAGGAACACCAAUGGCGAAGGCAGGUCUCUGGGCCAAUACUGACACUGAGGAGCGAAAGUCUGGGGAGCGAACAGGAUUAGAUACCCUGUGUAGUCCAGACCGUAAACGGUGGGCACUAGUUGUGGGAACCUUCGACGGUUUCUGCGACGCAGCUAACGCAUUAAGUGCCCCGCCUGGGGAGUACGAUCGCAAGAUUAAGACUCAAAGGACUGGAACGGGGCCCCGCACAAGCAGCGGAGCAUGCGGCUUAAUUCGACGCAACGCGAAGAACCUUACCAAGGCUUGACAUAUAGGGAAAAGUGGCAGAGAUGUCAUGUCCGCAAGGGCCCUAUACAGGUGGUGCAUGGUUGUCGUCAGCUCGUGUCGUGAGAUGUUGGGUUAAGUCCCGCAACGAGCGCAACCCUCGUUCUGUGUUGCCAGCAUCUAGUUGGGGACUCACAGGAGACUGCCGGGGUUAACUCGGAGGAAGGUGGGGAUGACGUCAAAUCAUCAUGCCCCUUAUGUCUUGGGCUGCACGCAUGCUACAAUGGCCGGUACAGAGGGUUGCAAUACCGCAAGGUGGAGCGAAUCCCAAAAAGCCGGUCUCAGUUCGGAUUGAGGUCUGCAACUCGACCUCAUGAAGUUGGAGUUGCUAGU
rnacentral:rRNA from 1 species